AUGCAACAUGCCCCCAAGCUCCGCCCCACCCUCCCCUCCAUCCAGAUCCAUGCCUCAAGGCCCGCACCCUUGCCCGUGGCUAGGGAUUCGGGCGCCCCCGUGUUCUUGCCGCUGAGUGGACAGGUCGGCCCGCUAGCCAAUGAGCAGCACCCCGCACCUGCGCGUGCCCAGGCCGACGAGCAGUACAGGGAUUGGCCGCGGAUGGAGACGAGUGCAGGCGCCGCAGCAGGACAAGCUGUGGCGGCGGCGGAUCUGGUGACUGCAGGCAGUCCGCACGAUUGUGAUUCUCGUGUCGCUGAUAGUUUGGAGCAGUCGGUUCCGCAUUACAAGCAACAACCACUGAGCCAUGAGAGUCUUUCUAGAUGGUACUCUAUCUACAUACUCUUACAAGAAACAACCAACGAGUUAUGGUAUAUAUUUCCAUUCUCAAAAUAA
rnacentral:rRNA from 1 species